CGACGGAAUUCCGAGGAAGCAAAAUUUUGUAUUUCCUCGGAAUUGCCUCGGAAAUGCCUCGGUAUAUUCCGAGGAAUUCAUUUUCCGUCGGAUCGUCCGUCAGAAUACCGCUGUUUUCUUGUAGUGCCAUCACCACAACUCUGGUUUUUUUCAAAAUUCAAAGCCACUAACCAAUCUAACCAGAAAAAAAUAUGCUUUUACUGAAAUGCCCAUAUCUGGUUUCGCUUUUAGGAGGAGAAAUGGGUCUUUAACCACUUAAAAAUGUCUCAGUAGCACUAUGUGUUCUAUGCUGUAAUAAAAACACAUAAAGUGUCCAUUUGUGUUAAUAACUAUUCUUUGAAUCGCAACAUAUCCGAAGUGUAGAGAAAAUUGGUUUCUUAACAUAAUAAGACUUCGACACGUAGUCUGCAAACUCUGUCCCAGACCUCAACCUGCAUAUGCUUCCCUCAUCUUACGUUUUUGAAAGUAAAUGAAGAGUAUUUCAAAAAGUACAAUCAUAAAUGUUAACUAAUAAAGAUUUGGUUAACUAAUAAAGAUUUGGUCAGAAUAUCCAGGCCCUGCCCUGACCUAAAGCCGCUUUAGGCACCAAAUUAUAUCACGAAUUUAGGAGCACAAAAUUUUGUCAAAACUAUCUAGUAUAGGCAAAAGGCAUGAUAUGAUGAUGCUAGGCACUGAGAAUACCAUCAGCUAAAUUCUCUCUUCGGAGGUUAGAUCCAGAUCGGCAAUUUUAUCUUACUCUCGAUUUAGAUCCGCCAAAGUUAGUGGCGUGUACGGCUCUCUUGUUUGGUCUUCGUCGGUGUGGGGCGAUGGCAUCGGCUAUCUAUCCUCCGCAUCGGUGUCUCGGUGUAGGAGGAGUCUUUGACCCCGUACAGAUCGGACUUUGACAAUUUCCUCUGUCAAGGCAUGCGUCGGUUUCGCUUCUCCUGCCAGUGUCGGUUUGAAGCUUUCCAACAGCAUGUAUAAAGUUUCUAGUUCGGUGAGACAGGGAGUCGUGUACACUUUGGCGUCAUCUUCUUGUUCUCUGCUCUGGUUUUCGCCUUCAAUCCACGACUUGUCUUGUGAUUCUCUUUCCACCAGAAGUGCACAUCCUAGGUGGAGAGCUGUCGGGUUCUGGCCUUCAUGUUUAGUAGCGAUCGUUAGUUACCGUUCGGCUACAUUUCAAGUUGAAGAACCAUCUUCUUGUUUUAAGAGGUGGAGUGAGUGGGAGUUUGUUAUGAUUCACAAGUGUCCAGAGCUCCAACCUCUCCAUCCCAGUAUGGGAGUCUUGAUCUCUACAAGCUUCGACAUGAUUCCUUCUUUCUUCUUAUUGCAGGCACUCCACUUGAUUACGCGGCCUCAGUUCAAUCUGGUCCUUGCUCGGUGUUGGGUGAAUUUGUCUUGGACGUUUGAUCCAGUUAUAUAUAUGAAUUUUCCGGGUCUUGUUUAACCAGAUUUACGCUUAAACGUCAGUGGAGAUUGCGAGCGUGAAGAGAACAUCAUGAACUAUGUUCAUAGCAUAAGAUGUGCCAGUAACCGAGGAAACAAGGUGAACACUAUCUUUCAAGUGAUUACCGUCAAUGACUGGGGACAGAAAAUGAAAAUCUUAAGAUAUCGUAACUACCUAGCAGAAUGAGCCGAUGGAGUGGUGGUUGAACGAAUUUAAAGAUAUUACGGUAGACUGAGAUCAUUUUAUUUGAAUCGUUUGGAACCAAAAGCUUGAAUUUCUGAUUUUCAGAAAAAUUAAUAAAAACAAAUAUAUAAAAAAAUAUUUGGAUAGAAAACAAUAUUUAACGUU